AUACAGAGGGUGCGAGCGUUAAUCGGAAUUACUGGGCGUAAAGCGCGGGUAGGCGGCUUAUUAAGUCAGAUGUGAAAUCCCCGGGCUCAACCUGGGAACUGCAUCUGAUACUGGUAAGCUAGAGUUUUGGAGAGGGAAGUGGAAUUUCAGGUGUAGCGGUGAAAUGCAUAGAGAUCUGAAGGAAUACCAGUGGCGAAGGCGACUUCCUGGCCAAAAACUGACGCUGAGGUGCGAAAGCGUGGGUAGCAAACGGGAUUAGAUACCCGAGUAGUCC
rnacentral:rRNA from 1 species